CCCUUAGAUGUUCUGGGCCGCACGCGCGCUACACUGAUGCAUUCAACGAGCCUAUCCUUGACCGACAGGUCCGGGUAAUCUUUGAAUCUGCAUCGUGACGGGGAUAGAUUAUUGCAAUUAUUAAUCUUCAACGAGGAAUGCCUAGUAGGCGCAAGUCAUCAGCUUGCGUCGAUUACGUCCCUGCCCUUUGUACACACCGCCCGUCGCUCCUACCGAUUGGGUGUGCUGGUGAAAUGUUCUGAUCGGCCGUUUGUCGCGGUUUCCGCGUCAUGUGGCUGAGAAGUUCAUUAAACCCUCCCACCUAGAGGAAGGAGAAGUCGUAACA
rnacentral:rRNA from 1 species